AUCAGACACUGACCCGGACAUCUGCGAAGAGGAAACUUUGUGCCCACGAGUUCUGCCUGGUUUUGCCAACCAUUUCCUCAGCACCCCCUGGGUCAAGUAGGACUCCAGGGCUUUCUGCCAAGGAAUAUCCUAGAUGUAGUCUCCCGGGCGGCACAGAAGGGACAGGCUCUGCGCUCUGGUGUUUCAUCCCUCCAGUGCCC